rnacentral:lncRNA from 10 species
CCCUUUCAGAGCUUUCCCGGGUCCAUAACAAGCCCAGGCAGCUAUUCAAAUGCAAGUUGCAUCCCCAAAUGCGAGGCUGGCCUGACCAAAAAGAGCCAGUCGGCGCCCGGAAGAGGCGAGACUCGCGCUUGGGUUCUCAAUCCUUCUCUUUUCUCCUUUCUUUUUCCCUUUCUCCUCUCCGGUUCCUGAUUUAGCUGGGAGCUGUUUAUUUAUGGCUGCAAAUGUGUGUGUUCAAGAGAGAGAGGGAAUUGAUCUUUGCCUGGACUUAAAGAUGGAGCCGAAGAAGCUGGAGGGAAUUUGGGCUUGUGCGUCUGGCCCAGACCCUGUGCGCCGAGCCCGAGGUCUAUCCUCCCCGCACCUCUCACCUCGCGACCUUGCAGGAAUCCGCGGGCCCGGAUGCUGCCCAGCUGACCCUCCUGCCCCGGGCCUGGCUGCAGAGAAAGUCUUCGGGCAGGAGGCCAUCCUGUUCCUGUCUUUAAAAUGAGCACAAUAAAAGGGGGCAAAUCCUCGAACGCGAACCUGAUCUCAUGUCACAGAAGCAACUUGCCAUGAAAUCCGCUAAUGCGCUGCGACUCGCCCACCAGGAUAAAUAACCCCAUCGUCCGUGUAAUCAGCACGUUCCCAAUGAAGUCGUUUUCCUAGAAUGCGCUCUCCGCCUGCCACACUUGAGGAAUCCAGCCCACAGAGGUUUCGGAAACCCAGUUUGAGUGAUUCCAGCCUAGACUGAAACCCUGAGAGCCUCCCAGGAAAGAGAGCCCGGCCUGGGCCAAGCAGUCGGACACACACACACACACACACACACACACACACACACACACACACACACACACGGACUGCGUAGCUCUUCGCAGGAUCGAAGGCUGGAUGCGGAUCUGGGAGGCGGUGGCUAAGCGAACCAGGAAGACUGUGACGGAAACCAAUACAGCAGUGUCAUCUUGAAAGUUAUUUGGAAGAACAGGACCUGGAGUCUGGGUUUGAAUCAAAAAAUUGUGAGCAAGGGACAGAUCACCCUGUAUUUCUCUGGAACGAGGCAGAACUGAGACCUGCUCAGCUGAACCAGCGUGGCCACAUAUUGGGGACUAGGAAAUUGUUCUCAGACACUGUAGCACACACAUCCUCUGACAGCGAGCUCACUCCUGCGCAGUGGGCUUCUGGUUCUGCCACUGCACUCCACAAACGCCCUACAGGCCUCCUCCAGGUUUUGCCAGGCAAAUGAAACGAGCACAACUCGAUAGUAAAUUAUUUUGUUCAGCCUUCUCUCUUUUUAUGAAAAUAAGAGGCAACACUUUGUCAUUUUUAAUCACAUAAGCAGACAAUAAAUCUAAUUUUGAUAUUGA